GCAGCAUUGCCUUAGAUGAAAAAGACACUGGAGGAAUUAAUAGAAGAAGUGAGGAAGUAUCCACGUUUGUGGAACAAAGGGUUAGAAGAAUAGCGGAACUAGAACAUGCGGGAUAAUGCUUGGGACAUGAUUUCUGGAGAAUUGAAUACACCAGAUUAAAUUACGGGAGUGGUAUGAAGUCUGAGAAACAUCCAGGCAGAUCGCAAUUGUGGGGGUUCUCAUUCGGCUCAACUGCCUCAGCGAACAACAGAGGAACCUUUCAAAAUGUAAAAGUAUGUUAAAAAGGGAUCUGCUGCUUUCUUUCGGUAGCUAAGGAAAAACGUUUCUGACAGCGAGGAACCGAGGAGAACACUUCGAACAGGGAAGGAGGAAGACACAGGGAAACGGAGAAAUUUACAUAAUGAGGGACUUAAUCAUUUAUAUUCCCUUCGCCAAAUCCUAUUACAGUGAACGCUUCAAGGGGAAUGAAGCAGUUGAGAUAUGCAGAAAGCAUUAAGGAGUUACAAAAAUAUACAAAAAAUAAUGAGAACCCGCGAAGAGAAGAGGUCAAGUCUCAGAACUUGGAGUUAGUGAGAAGAUGAUACGAAACGGAUCAUAAAGACAAAAGCCAAAAUAUGACGACGAUCGGAUUAGCUUGACUCAGAAUGGGGUGUAGUCGUAAGCACUUGACUAAUCAUAUGGUUCAGUGGUAGGAUCUUGUGGAAAAUAUAUUGGGUUCUAUAAAAGGUAAAAUAAUUUCUUUAUCAAACUGAGGUGUGUGAACUUCUGAAGAAUUACAGUAAAUGAGCUAAUUACUCAAAUUAUGCUUAUCUGAAAAUAUAUUUGUUUACUGCAGAAUCUUCUUGUGAAAUGUGACGCCACAUCACGGUGCAAAAUCCUAGAUAGAUAACAAUAGAUACAUAGGUGCCGCCGUGACUAGCUCAAACUUCAUACCGUUUUUCGCAUGUAGUGGUCGACUUAUUAAAAGUCAUGGAUGAUAUAACUCAACAGAAGAUGAAUAAAGAACUAUUUCCAAUUUUAUUUAUUGCCACAUGACAAUAGGAUACAAAAGCAAUCCUUGUUAAAUAUAUGCAUACUAUGUAGAACUAAAAAGUAUUUCCAUAUUAGUACAUACUGUAAUAUAUUUCACUUUCAAGUG